rnacentral:tRNA from 1 species
GGUCUCGUGGUCUAGUGGUAUGAUUCUCGCUUUGGGCUCAACUCAAAGCUGCGAGAGGCCCGCGUUCGAAUCGCGGCGGGACCC